ACCCAACCCCUUUUGCAGUCAUUUCCAAGGCUUUGUACGGAGUGGAGCAGUUGGGAAAUCCUGCUUGCGACAAACCUCACUUUAUCCUCUCUCUCACUCUAUUGCCUGGAGGGAUGGUUUGGAGUGGAGUUCUGGGAGAAAGACUUCACAGAAAAAUCGGAAGCAAUUUGUACUUUCCUGCACUUCUGCUUGGACUUCGUGGGAAACUUCAUCUCUCAUCUCUAGAGCUCCCCUUCUCUCCAAAAUUUGCUUGAUGUUUUUCCUCUGGAUAUGGAUAAUGUCUUUUCUCCGGAAAACCCUUCCCGACUGAUCUCAAACUAUAAGCUCCUAAGGCGCCGAAAUUCAAAACGAUCAACAGCAUAGACCCUGGGAACCCUCCUCCUGGACCUGGACCCGGAUCAAAAGAGUCACUGAAGUCCAGUAACAAGACAAAAAUCAGGAUGCCUGUGAAGCAGAGGAUGACCUUGGCAUUUCUGAUGUCUGACCAAGUUCUAUGUACCUCAUAGAAGCUUUGGUGGUUCAUAGAGCCUGCUUCAGCUUCAUUCAUAGACUUCUGGGCAAGCAUGGUGGCAGUCUAGAUGUGGGACAAUUCCUCUCCCCAGCACCCACCAACACAGAGUACCUCAAAAGACCUUAAAAACCAUUUUCAGAAGAACAGAGGAACUCUAUAGUAAGCUGCAGAAUUGAAGGUACGUGGGAUUUGGGCAUUUCAACACUAUAAGAGGGUAAAAGAGCUCCCACUCAAAUGUGAAUCAAUCUACCCUCCCCCAACCCACCUACAGAGCCAGAGUCAGAGCCAGCAUACACCAGAAUCAGUGAGUGAGUGAGGGGCACCUCUAGGUCCUUGGGAGCUGACUAAGACUACCAAAUACCAACCCAUGGUGGCAGCUACACCAGAAAUUCUGGGGGGCAAGGAAGUAGAGACCUUGGGGGCUCAGAGCUGGCAUGUGUCAGGAUCAGCAAGUGAGUGAGUGGCACCUGUAGAGAGAGCAAGGGGCACCUCUAGGUCCCUGGGAACUGAAUAAGACCACCAAAAACCAACCCUUAAAGCAGCUUCACCUGAAACCCAGCAGGCUGAGGAGCACAGACCUUGGGUGCCACUGGGAAGGUAGCACAGAGAAGAAUUGCAAACUGCUGCAAAGUUUCGAGAGCUUGCCUCAGGCAAAUCUACUUGCUCCUUAACUCCAUACACAGAGAACUUGGUCAGCUCACUCAGAUUUUUGUGAAUCUUAAAAACUACUCAGACUGUACUUUAGAAGAUUUAAUUUAGCUCUUUCCUUAUUGUAACAAUGGAGAUACUUGGUCUAACAGAAUCAGGAAUGUCUUGGGAACUCUAUUACUUCACCCAUACUUAGACAUAUUUUAGGGGAAGAUAAAGUCAUAAACUCCUGAUUGAAAAAUGAAGGUACUUAACUCAUACCUUAUAGUGAAGCUAGAACUUUAAGCUAAGUCUAUUUUUAGAUCUCAUACAAAAGGGUGUUAAGUACCUAUAAAGGUUAAAUUAAUCACAAAAAGGUCAGGUAACUCACAAAAGGCAAGCUUAAAAAAGAAGUGUGAAGUACUCAAAAGACAUAAUCUAACCAGAGAAGGUGAAAACUAAAGAGUGGUGAGAACUAAAGAAUGGGCAGUCCCAGAUAAAGCAUCUACUGUGAUUGGUAGAUGUAAAAAUUUAGGGGAGGUGACAUAAGAGAAAAUUUCUUCAAAAGGAGGCUAAAAAAGUCAGUUUUAAGAACUCAUUUCAGGAGAUUGAGUUCAGUGGAGGACUGGAGCUUCCUUGGAGACAAUCUUGUGGUGAGUGAUAAGACUGACUCCAUUUCCUUUAGACUCAGGAAGGCCACUUUGACCAAAGCCUUUACUCAGCCAGCACCAGAGCAGUUUAAAUUAACU